GACGAACGCUGGCGGCGUGCCUAAUACAUGCAAGUCGAGCGCACAAGGUAGGUACUUGUUCCUACGGGGUGAGCAGCGAACGGGUGAGUAACGCGUGGGGAACCUACCUUUGAGCGGGGGACAACUUUUGGAAACGAAUGCUAAUACCGCAUAAAAUCUUUAAACACAAGUUUUAAGAUUGAAAGAUGCAAUUGCAUUACCUAAAGAUGAUCCCGCGUUGGAUUAGCUAGUUUGUGAGGUAAAGGCUCACCAAGGCGAUGGUACAUAGCCGACCUGAGAGGGUGGUCGGCCACAUUGGGACUGAGGCACGGCCCAAGCUCCUUCGGGAGGCAGCAGGAGGGAAUCUUCGGGAAUAGACGAAAGUCUGACCGAGGCACGCCGCGGGGGUGGAGAAGGUUUUCGGGUCGUAAAAAUCUGUUGAUAGGGAAGAACGUUGGGGGGAGUGGAAAGCGCAUCAAGUGACGGUAACUACUCAGAAAGGGACGGCUAACUACGUG
rnacentral:rRNA from 1 species